rnacentral:rRNA from 1 species
GACGAACGCUGGCGGCGUGCCUAAUACAUGCAAGUUGAGCGAUGAAGAUUGGUGCUUGCACCAAUUUGAAGAGCAGCGAACGGGUGAGUAACGCGUGGGGAAUCUGCCUUUGAGCGGGGGACAACAUUUGGAAACGAAUGCUAAUACCGCAUAACAACUUUAAACAUAAGUUUUAAGUUUGAAAGAUGCAAUUGCAUCACUCAAAGAUGAUCCCGCGUUGUAUUAGCUAGUUGGUGAGGUAAAGGCUCACCAAGGCGAUGAUACAUAGCCGACCUGAGAGGGUGAUCGGCCACAUUGGGAAUGAGACACGGCCCAAACUCCUACGGGAGGCAGCAGUAGGGAAUCUUCGGCAAUGGACGAAAGUCUGACCGAGCAACGCCGCGUGAGUGAAGAAGGGUUUCGGAUCGUAAAACUCUGUUGGUAGAGAAGAACGUUGGUGAGAGUGGAAAGCUCAUCAAGUGACGGUAACUACCCAGAAAGGGACGGCUAACUACGUG